rnacentral:rRNA from 1 species
UACGUAGGGGGGCAAGCGUUGUCCGGAAUCAUUGGGCGUAAAGAGCGUGUAGGCGGCCAGAUAAGUCCGCUGUGAAAACUCGAGGCUCAACUUCGAGCUGUCGGUGGAAACUAUUUGGCUAGAGUCCGGAAGAGGAGAGUGGAAUUCCUGGUGUAGCGGUGAAAUGCGCAGAUAUCAGGAAGAACACCCGUGGCGAAGGCGGCUCUCUGGUACGGAACUGACGCUGAGACGCGAAAAGCGUGGGGGAGCGAACAGG